GCGACUCUAUUGUAUCUUUGAGCGUGUGAUGCGUUCAGGUAUUUUUCGCGGUGCGAUAAUGAUAAAUUAAUAAAAAGUGAGAAAUAACUCAAGACUUAAAUGAAAAAAAAAAUUAAAUUGAAUUGAUCUGAAAGAAUGAUAAAUAUUUUGUGGGUUUCCUCCCAUGCAGCGUUUUGUUUAACGUCAAUAGCUCGACAACUGAAAUUUGAAAUGUAAUUUCAUAAAAC
rnacentral:lncRNA from 1 species